UUGCAUUUGGACCCCCUGGGGUCAAGGUCAAGGUCACCGUUACUAAAAAUAGAAAAAUGGUUUCCGGACAAUAACUAGAGUUAGGAAUGAGAUAUUGUUAUCAAACUUGGUGUAUAGCAAGCUUAUAUGAAGACCUGGGUUGGUAUUGCAUUUGGACCCCCUGGGGUCAAGGUCAAGGUCACCAUUCCUAAAAAUAGAAAAAUGGUUUCCGGACAAUAACUAGAGUUAGGAAUGAGAUAUUGUAAUCAAACUUUGUGAAAAGCAAGCUUAUUUGGAGACCCCAGUUGGGAUUACAAUUAAUUGAAAUAUUUCUUUGUACACAGUUGAUAGUUUGUGUUGAAAUUUUUCUUCAGACUACUUAUUUUUCAAAAAGUUUCUGGUGGGGGUAUUAAUCACCUUCAGUGAUAGGUCUAGUUUGUUUUGUUGCAAAGUUUAAAGGUUUAACAAUUACUUGAUAACAAUUUAUGACUAUAAUUAACACUUAUGUUAUUUUUUCUUUUAAAUUCGCUCCUUUGAAUUAAAAAUAUCUUCUUAUACAUGUACAAUUUUGUCUAUAUUUGUGUAGAAAAACUAUCACAUUUUUUUUUUUUUAAAAGUGUUAUAAUGGGAGAUUUUUUUUGCUACUGCAGCUAUGUUAUAAUACAAUAUAGUUUAAGUAGGACAGGGUACUGGUUCAGACAUAUUUUGAUGUACGUUUCAUGUUUAAUUUCAUCUCAUAAUUGACCAAAUUAUUAUUGUUGAUUAUACCUUGUUCAGUUUUAAAGGCAUACACAUUUUCCGUUUAUUGAAAUAAUAUUGUUUGUGUGUUGUUCCAAUAUGUUAUUGAUAAUAAUGAAAUGUUUAAUAAAUUUUGAAAUCCUA